UCUCCGUUGGUGAACCAGCGGAGGGAUCAUUACAGAGUUGCAAAACUCCCACACCCUUUGUGAACGCACUGAAACUACUGCUUCGGCGGGCAGCCCUUCAGGGGGUAGCCCGCCGGAGGUCUUAAACCCUGAAUUCUAGUGUAUCUCUGAGGAUGAAAAAAAACCAAUUAAAACUUUCAACAACGGAUCUCUUGGCUCUG
rnacentral:misc_RNA from 1 species